GCUAACCAUGCACCAACGUCAAUUUCCUGAUUCAACCCAACCCAUCUCGCCCCCAUUCCCCUGGAUAGCAUCACGCGCGGAGGCGGCAGCCACCGGCGGUGGCGGCGGCCAGGAGCCCCUCUCACACCCUCAGGCAGGAGCGUUCUACGUGCGGAGAGGCGCCCCUCCGGCAGGACCGCCGGCUCAGCUCACCUCUGAACACUCCGACGCGGCAGCCCGGACCGCCUCUCACACCCCUCAGGCAGGAGGAGCCUUUGCGUGCGGCGCGACGGCCUUCCGGCAGUCCUGCCGGCCCAGCUCCCUCUGCGUGCCGCGCGUCGUCCCUCCGGCAGGACCGCUGGCCUAUCUCCCCUCUGAUUUUCUAACGACUCUCUCGGGCUGUGUCCCCCUUCUCGUGCCCAGCUCCCCUCCCGUUCCGGACAAGACGCAUCUGCCUUCGGUGGGAAGGUCGGAUUCGAUCGGUUCCACCGGAAUCGGACCGCCAGCUGAUGUCCGGAGGUGCUCCGUGGCUGGAUUCCCUCUGGUGGGCACUCCGUCCUCAGCCAUGGGAUGCACGCCACUGCUGCCCAUCCCGACUGGGCGGAGGCUCCCUUUUCCUGCAGGUGCUGCCCCGCUGAUUUAGUGCUCAGAAAAUUUUGUUGGCUGUUGAUUUGCUGCCAAGGACGGCAAACUCGACUAUGGCGACGCCAUCUGUGGACUUCAAGGUGCCUAAUUGAUGUUUGGCGUUCCCUCUUCUAAUAACGUUCGUGACGUUCCACUUCCUCUCCCCACAAUCUCGAGAGAAACUGAUGGAUUUUUGCCCUAUAAAGUCUACUACACCUAAGUACCUCACCUCAUUUUGUAUCAUCGUCCUCCAGUACGGGUGGGUCUCUCCCAAAAUUCUCAUACUGCAGCCGGUUGUGCGUGCUUGACGACACCCCGGUAGCUAUCUUCGUUUGUCUUCCCUCACUGCAUACACAAACGAAUUCGAUUUCUACCUCCUACUGGUACAUAUUAUUUCUUAUUUUCAUACCAAUUUUGCUGAGCUUCCAUUGUAACCCAGAAAUGUUAUCAUCAGGGACACCUUUUAUUUCAUGCAAAUAUUAUAAACCAGACACAUGACUUAAAAUUUCCUAUAAAUAUUACCUAAUUUAUGCAGCUCAAACUGUGCCAGUGUUUUAAAAAUGUCAGACCAUUUUUGGUUGAAGGCCUGGGCACUCUGCCUCCGAAUAAGUGGUGCCUACAUGAUGAAAUUUUUUGCUUGGCCAAACUAGCCUUGUGGGUGAACGUUUCGUUCUUGACCUUGCUUGCUGCUAUGUCGUUCAGUGAGGCCAAUCAACGUAUUUACAUUUUCUUUCCAAGUAAGCCAUCCAAACAAUCACCACGCCCAAAUCUUACAUGCAUGUGCUAUAUUAAUACAUACAGUAACUGCUUAAUUUACUGGUGAUUAGAAUCACAAUAUAAAUACCAUUUAUGACUUUCUAUACAGUCACUGCUAUUUUUUUAAUACCAUUCACUGCUAAAUUAGUUUUUUUUUGCGGGGCACUGCUAAAUUAGUUGUGUAUUAAUAAUUCUUAAAACAACAUCGCUUGGUUACAAUUUUUUUUUCUGCCCCACAUCUAUAUAUAACAGCACCCGUAGCAUUCUAUCUGUAGAAGUUCAUCUUCCCUACACCUAAAUAUUGACUUUUACAAACUACAUGGACAACCAGCAGGAAGGCAACAGGUACAACUAUUACAUACAAAGUAGUUUUCUCGGUUCCUCCUACGAAAUUAACACCAUGCAUACCUAUUUUCCUAUAGUAUGCGAUCUCAUGCACCAAGAAAAGUUUUGCCACCUUCAUCAACGCAACAAACAAGAGAAAGACACAAAGACUACAUAGCGGCUGUUACAAAGAUGAAGAAUGCUACAAAAACGCCAACAACCAGCAUAUCAUUUCUUUUUUCUUUUUCUUUUGCGAGUAACCAGCAUCUCAUUUCAACACGACACCACAAAGGAUCAUCCAUCCAGGGCUGGAAAAUACAUCUUUGAGUACAUCAAGAAAGGAAUCCCAGAUGUACAAUUCGUUCACAAGGAAGAAGAUAUUGUGCUAUUUAUCCUAUGAAACUGUUAUACAUCUAUCAAAUAAUCAAGUAAAAUAAAUUCAUUAUUACAUUUUCACUCAGCCGAAUUUAUCAAAAUUAUUGCAACCAAUUCCCGCAGCAACGCGCGGGAAAUUGUCUAGUUUCCUAUAUGAUCGAGGACUAAAUAUAAUGAUAGAUUUUGAACAGAGAAAAUUUAUUAUCUUUUGAUGAGUGGUAACACAAAGAGUGAUGAUGGAUGUUAACUCAUAAUCUGCUGCACUGCAGUAGGACCACUUGGUCAUGUUCCCCCAUAAGUUCUAGAGCAUAUGAGUGUUUUGGUGAUUCUAUUUCAGCCCCUUAGGCUAGUCAGAGUUGUAGCUUUGUUCCACAACUUUUCACAGUGCGUAAGUAAAACGAUUCAAUUAGCUCGCUAUAAUCCAAUCCAAAACCCUACAAAUAUGAAGAACAUAAAUAAAUGCGCUAAAUCCUUUUGGUUGUCUGAACUCUGAAGUAGUGGAAUUAGGACUCACUGAAAUAGCAACUUCAAUAAAAGGAGGCAAUAUGACUUCCAUUCUGGUUCUGCCAACUGCCAUUGCUAGUCAUAGCUCAUGCACAAAAAUCUUUAUCCUUGCCGAGCACAAUAAAGCCUUUCCUCAUUUCAAGAACCUUCUAUGGAUAUGGGAUAAAAUCUUGUUCUAUAGCAACUGCUACAAAGCCAAAAUUGCAGACUGCAUCAAAACAUCAUCAUUGUCAAUUUAUAAGAUAAUUUAAGGGGUAAAUAGUUGUCCACAAAUACCAAGGAAGUACACCCAAAUAGCUAUAUAAUUCUACUGAAUAAUCAUGAUUUAUAUUUCUCUACACUAUUUACAUUUUCUUUCUCGGGGAAGAAAGGAAUCUGUUCUAACAUUAAAAAUUAUGGUGCAUUAAUAAGGUUAUAUAACAUAAUUUUCUUACUGUGCUAGGAACAUGUCCAAAUUAUUUUUUUAAGAGCACCCUUCAACCUUCAAAUGGUGAUGCUGAUUAUUCAGUUUAACUCAUUGCACACCACUAAUUAAUAUGACAGAAUCAAAAUGGCUAGAGCAUGCCUAGUUCAUCUGACAGACAAGAACACAAUUAGAACAACAAAGUUUAAAAGGAUCAGUCUUCUUAUGUCCAUCUAAUAUGUCUUGGCAAAAAAUAAAAAUUAGGGGAUAUUCCUAUUUGCUAUUUCCAAGACUUUCUUUACAAGCACAUAAGAAGGUCAGAUAAUCUAACCUAGGUAUAAUCUAUCCAGCACAUAAGAAGUACAAGUGAACCAACUAAUCUUUACAUUAAGAGGGCAAUAUGCAUAACCAUAGCCUCACGAGGCUUUUCCUUUUCGCUUGAUGUCUACAAAUGAAACAAAAUACUAUUUUAGUGUGCAUCAGGAAACGACUCAUAGCCCUGGAUGCGGAUAUAUGCGGAUUCUUCAAAGCCUACAUGAACAAAGAAAAGGUGAAAGAUAACCAAAGAACGCCCACAAAUGAGUACAUGGGUGGACACUAAAACAUGGACGCAUGCAUCAAUAUUGGCGUGACGAGGACGCAAUAGUAUGGGUACGAGUCUAUUGGACCCGCCGUCGAGCGUUGGCCCUGCUUGCCACCCCUAGGCCGCCGGCUACCUCUCACAUCGCACCUGGCCGUCGCCUGCACCGCGCUUGUGUCCCCGGCUAGAGCACUGUCCACUUUUGUCCAGCUGCCGCCUCGCAUGAGGAGAGGGAGGUGGGGGCCUCUCCGGUUGGGGAGAAUGGGCAUGAGCAAAGGAGUUGUGGCGACGUUCGAGCGUCGCCAGAUCCUGGACUGCGUGACGACGGUAGCCGUUGUCAGUGGAGGAGGGACAGACGAGGGAAGCAAAGGGUGGAGCAUCUGGAGGUCGGCUGCACGACGAGCUUCCGUGCGGCGGCGGCACAAGGAACCCUACCGCGUGUGAGGGCAUUGGCCUAUCGAGAAGAGGAGCAGCUCGAGCAAUACGAGCAGCUCGCUCGUCGAGUCGGAGCGUUGUUUUAAGGGUGCGUGGAAGAAAACCAAUGGGAGUGAAAAAAUUGUUG